GGGGUGUAGGUUAGUAGAAGAGCAUCUGCUUUGCAUGCAGAAGGUCCCAGGUUCAAUCCCUUGGUAUCUCCA